AAUAAAUCUCUGUGUAGUUAAUUCCUUCUUUCUGUUGAAAGCCUUUGACCACCAAUCUCGCCUUGUAUCGCUUUGAUCCGUCAUGUUCCUCCUUAACUCGAUAGACCCAUUUAUUGUGUAGGGCUUUCUUUUCUGCAGGUAACUCAACUAGCUCCCACGUUUGAUUAGAGAUAAGAGACGUUAUCUCAUCUUUCAUUGCAAGCUCCCACUUAAUUGCAUCCUCUCCCUGACAUGCCUCAUCAUAGCAUUCAGGUUCAUCGGCAUCAGUAAGUAAUAAAUAAUUUAUGUACUUUCUAUUUAGAACAUGUGGUCGGGAAGAUCUUCUAGGAAUAGGAGUUGGAGGUAAAGUCUCUGCAACAGCUUCCUCUGGCUGAGGAAUUUCAUCUGUCUGCUUUGACAUACUACUACUUGGAGUAUCAUCCAACUCAACAUAUAUUGGAUUAUCAUGUAUGUCACUGGACUGCACUGUAUCUCUAUCCUUGUAAUCACCCUUUCAUCGAAUAUGACAUCCCGACUUCUGAUGACCUUUUUGUUCUUAUCAUCCCAAAAGCGAUACCCGAACUCAUCUCUACCAUAUCCAAUGAAUGUACACUUUAGUGAUUUGGGAUCAAUCUUACCCCUAGCUUGAACACUAAUAUGUACAUAUGCGACACAACAAAAAACUUUCAAAUGAGAAAGUUUUAUUUCUUUUCCGCUCCAUACUUCCUCCGGUAUCCUGUACUCUAAAGGCACUGAUGGCCCGCGAUUGAUUAAGUAUGCUGCUAUGUUGAUAGCUUCGGCCCAAAAUUGUUUAGGCAAGCCAGCAUGUAACCGCAUGCUUCUGGCUCUCUCUGUCAACGUCUGGUUCAUUCGUUCGGCCACACCAUUUUGUUGCGGUGUUCCUGGCAACGUCCUUUCCAGUUUGAUACCACUCUGGUAACAAAACUUUUUGAAAUCAGUAUGUUCGUACUCUCCGCCAUUAUCUGAUCUCAAUUUCUUUUCUCGCAAACCUGUUUCAUUCUCCACCAUAGCUUUCCACUUCUUGAACAUCUCGAACACUUUGGAUUUGUGUCUCAAGAAGUAGACCCAUACUUUUCUGGAGUAAUCAUCAAUGAAAGUCACAAAAUAAGACUUUCUGCCAAUAGAUGGAACUGCAGCUGGUCCCCAGACAUCUGUGUGGACUAACUAUAGCUUUUCCUGCUUCGG
rnacentral:lncRNA from 1 species